UACGAAGGGUGCAAGCGUUGUUCGGAUUUAUUGGGCGUAAAGCGCGCGUAGGCGGACCUGCAAGUCAGAUGUGAAAUCUCGGGGCUCAACCUCGAAACUGCGUCUGAAACUACAGGUCUAGAAUCUUGGAGGGGGAAGGGGAAUUUCUCAUGUAGGGGUAAAAUCCGUAGAUAUGAGAAGGAACACCAGAGGCGAAGGCGCCUUACUGGACAAGUAUUGACGCUGAGGCGCGAAAGCGUGGGGAUCAAACAGG
rnacentral:rRNA from 1 species